UCUCAACUUCACAAUUGUUGUGUAUAUCAAUUAUUGUGUUUUUAGUGGAUAUAAGAAAUUAAACUGAAGCAGACUCUUAAAGAAAGCAAAAAAUAUUUAAAAAAUUAAAAUGAAAUUCACGAGCUAUCGUCAUUUUGUUGUGCUAGUGUUGUCGCGAAUUGUUCUCAAUCAGCGUACUCAAUCAGCGUUCAGCAGUGGCGAAGCAAUGCAGACGAACAAUCUUCCAAAAAGUGACAGUGUUCAUGACAAGCGACUCUUUUGGUUCACAAAUGAGGCUACGAAAACAUGCGGCAAAUUACGCUCAUCCUGCCGCAGCUCAGGCGACUGCUGUGACAAGCUACAAUGUCUCUACUUCAUGCCAUUUUCAUCCUCAAGGCAGUGCAUAGCCGAAUCGUGAAUCAGCAGAGACGAAAAAAAAACAGAAAUCAGCCACCAUUCAAACCAUUUUUAAAACCUAAUGAUUGUGACCAAAAUUUAUUAAACUCAAAAAUCUAUGGUAAAGUUCAAGCUAAUUAUGUCAUGAUCUUGAGACAACUAACCACUGACUCUUACUGCUUUGGUUUCACACAAU